AAUAAAAACAUUAACAGAGCAUCUGUACCUCUCAAAUGUCCUUCUCUUCAAGGUGAGACAGAGACGAGAGCAAAUCUAAUACCAUAUAACUGACAGGCCCUCUCCUUUUUCUCAUCCACAGGACACAGAUAAGAUCUAACAACCAGCUAAAUAUAUUAACAUUAACCCACGCUAAUGAAGCAAGAAACAAGUUGUGGGUAGGAAUGAUGAGCAUAUGUGAUGUGGCCCUAAAAUGUGCAGGAAUAUGAGGAAGAAGCCAGAUGUGGAAGUUAAAGCAAAGAAACAUGAAGUUAUUUGUUCCAGGUCAUCCAACUAAGCAGUGGCAGACAAAAAAUAGAAGCGAGUCCUUCAGUGCUCAUUCUGUUGCAUCACUCUUUCUUCCUGUUUUGAUGAAAACAUCUGAAAAAUCAUGGAUGUCCUACAAGCUGUUCGAGAGACAGCCUGAACAAAGCCAGGAGACACUGUGAGGAACUUGUGCUGUCUGCCUGUGGCUUGGACCUUGCAACUCAGUGGUAGAUCUGCUUUAUGACUUGAACAAGUCCCACAAUUGGUGUGCAACUCUCAGCCCUGGAAUCCUGCCUGGCAGCAGGGGUGGCACUGGCACGGGUUUGCUCUGGAGCUGCAGCGCGGCGCAGCCACAGGUGAAGGGAUGUUGGAAGCGAUUCCUUCUCCGAUACCCUGUGACGCCAAAUCCAUUCGCCCGCGGGGGCUGAGCCGCCUCUCUCGCCCGGCUGAGUUUGCAAGCGCGCUGAAGGCUUUUUGGAGGGAGGGAGCGGAAAAAAAAAAAAUCCGUGUUCAGGAGUGGACCGCGGCCCUCCUGGGCUUGGCAAGCGUU